AGUGAACGCUGGCGGUAGGCCUAACACAUGCAAGUCGAACGGCAGCACAGUAAGAGCUUGCUCUUACGGGUGGCGAGUGGCGGACGGGUGAGGAAUACAUCGGAAUCUACUUUUUCGGGGGGGAUAACGUAGGGAAACUGACGCUAAUACAGCAUACGACCUACGGGUGAAAGCAGGGGAUCUUCGCACCUUGCGCGACUGAAUGAGCUGAUGUCGGAUUAGCUAGUUGGCGGGGUAAAGGCCCACCAAGGCGAAGCACCGUAGCUGGUCCGAGAGGAUGAACAGCCCACAUUGAAAUGGGGCACGGGUCCGGCCUCCAAGGGGGGCAGGAGUUGGGAAUAUUUGAGAAAGGGGCGAAGCCUGAUCCAGGCAUACCGGGUGGGGGAAGAAGGCCUUCGGGUUCUAAAGCCUUUUUUUUGAGAAAGAAAAGCAGCAGUUUAAUACUACGCUGGUCUGACGGUACCCAAAGAAUAAGCACCGGCUAACUUCGUG
rnacentral:rRNA from 1 species